AUACGGAGGAUGCGAGCGUUAUCCGGAUUUAUUGGGUUUAAAGGGUGCGUAGGCUGUGCGUUAAGUCAGGGGUGAAAUGCCGUCGCUCAACGACGGAGCUGCCCUUGAUACUGGCGUGCUGGAGUACGGAUGCGGUUGGAGGAAUGAGUGGUGUAGCGGUGAAAUGCUUAGAUAUCAGUCAGAACACCGAUUGCGAAGGCGUCUGAGGAAUCCGUGACUGACGCUGAGGCACGAAAGCGUGGGGAUAGAACAGGAUUAGAUACCCUGGUAAUCCACGCCGUAAACGAUGAUGACUGACCGUCGGCGAUAGACAGCCGGUGGCCAAGCUAAAGCGAUAAGUAAUCCACCUGGGGAGUACGUCGGCAACGAUGAAACUCAAAUGAAUUGGCGGGG
rnacentral:rRNA from 1 species